GACCAUCGUUCAUCACUUCAUCAAAAAUUAAAAACUUACAGAUUCCAGCGAAAUACAGCGAGAUUUCGGCGACAAACAACGAAAUUCUGGCGAGGAGAGAGCUUAGAACUCACGAAUUCCGACGAAUGAGAGAGAGCACGAAUUCCGGCGAAUGAGAGAGAGAGGGGGGAUAUUUGGAAAGUAAUUUCUCAAGCCACCGUUACUGAUCGGAAUCUCUAUCCGUGAUUUUCGUUUUACUGUCGGAUAUCCGUAAAUAUUCGGUAUUCCGGGUCGGCAAGGAUAGUUACAUGGACCGAAACAGAUCCGCCCUUUCGUACCGAUCCCGAAUUCAAAAAAACCGGCAUAGCCGUCGGAAUUUCGCAAUAUAAGCGAAAUUUUGAACCAACAUCAGUUGGAGGUUGAUUGAUCUUAUGUUCUGUAUUGCAAACGUCUAGCAUU
rnacentral:lncRNA from 1 species